UACGGAGGAUGCAAGCGUUAUCCGGAAUGAUUGGGCGUAAAGCGUCCGCAGGUGGUUAUACAAGUCUGCUGUCAAAGCGCAAGGCUCAACCUUGUAAAGGCAGUGGAAACUGUGUGACUAGAGAGUGAUAGGGGCAGAGGGAAUUCCCAGUGUAGCGGUGAGAUGCGUAGAGAUUGGGAAGAACACCGGUGGCGAAAGCGCUCUGCUGGGUCGUAACUGACACUGAGGGACGAAAGCUAGGGGAGCGAAUGGG
rnacentral:rRNA from 1 species